AUUGAACGCUGGCGGCAGGCCUAACACAUGCAAGUCGAACGAGUGGCGGACGGGUGAGUAAUGUCUGGGAAACUGCCUGAUGGAGGGGGAUAACUACUGGAAACGGUAGCUAAUACCGCAUACCAUCAGAUGUGCCCAGAUGGGGUUAGCUUGUUGGUGGGGUAACGGCUCACCAGGGCGACGAUCCCUAGCUGGUCUGAGAGGAUGACCUGCCACACUGGAACUGAGACACGGUCCAAACUCCUACGGGAGGCAGCAGUGGGAAAUAUUUCACAAUGGGCGCAAGCCUGAUGCAGCCAUGCCGCGUGUAUGACGAAGGCGUUCGGGUUGUAAAGUUCUUUCAUCGGGGAGGCGUUAACCGCAUAAGAAGCACCGGCUAACUCCGUGCCAGCAGCCGCGGUAAUUC
rnacentral:rRNA from 1 species